GGAGGGGAGGGGGAGGUGGAUUAUUCUAUAAAACCCCUUAACUGAUCUGUAUUAUGAAUUUAUUUGUCCUACAAAUUCUAAUUGCUUGCUAACUGGAAGGUUUUCUUUCAGGCAGUGUGAUAGACAAAGAUGAGUACAUUUUCAUAUCCUAAAAUAGUUGAUGAUUUUCCUGUCCAUAUAGAUUUGGCCCUCUUUGAAGGAACACAUCAUAUCUUUCUUAAUGUAUAUCCAUUUUCUAUUGAAUGAGGAGUUGAACAGAUGUCCUUGCUGAAUUAGCAAUGAAAAUAUUAGUAUAAUGUUUGAUUGAAGUUUACUAUUGCUGAGAAGGACAUAAAAGAGGUGUGGUGGAAGGGUCUGCCAGAACCAGAGGCUAAGCACACAGCAGUAUAAAAAAAAUUAUUUAUUCCAGCUUCCAGAAUUCCUCCUCUUCAGCCUUUCCUGUUCGUUGGAAUAAUGAAGCUGUUAAACAGUGGUGUAAAGAAGUUCCAUCCAGUGGUUGAAGCUCAGUAGAAAUCAAGGAAGUAGGCUGUGUAGCUCACGUAGACCGUCUGUACUCGAGUCCUUCCCAGGCUCACUAAGGGGGAGAGGGGACACAGAGUUUUCAAAAUUUGCUUGUAGCAGAUACGAUUAUCUUCCAAUGAAUAUCUUCAUGAAACUGGAUUUAAAUAAUUACAUGUUAAAUAAAAUAUGUAGGUAUUAAGUUAACUUCCUCCUGGGGCUACUCAGGGUUUAUUUUUGUAGCCUUUAGAGGGGACAGAAACAAGGAGGCUACAUUUUUACUGACUGUGCUAGGCAUUCUGGAAAACUCCAGGUAAUAGAAACAUUUUAUUUUCUAUUUUCGUUCCAAAGUAAAUGCAGUAUUAAAUGAGCAAGUUUAGGUAAAUGCUUAGUGACGUGCCAAAAAGCUUACACAUAUACUUGCUUAACAGAGCUUUCCUUCUGGAAUUAAUGAAAUUCUAACCACAAAGAGGUGUUAGAAAUUAAUUCAAGAGCUGUAUUUGAAAGCCUGAAGACUCUCCCCUCUCCUUUAUUCACCAUCCCUACCCUUCCUGCCCAUCCCUACCCUUCUCUCUGCACCCUUGCCCCCUGGUGAGCACCUAGUUGAGUAGUUGUGCUUUGAAACUCAGUGUGAGAGGGAGGUUUUGUGGAUCUCUUAAAUCACAACACAAAACAGCUCACCACCACCAUCACCACCACUAUCACCAUGCAGUAGCUUUUGAUCAUGUCUCUUGAAUUGGUCAGUGCUCCCAACUGGACAAGAAAAACAAAUAUACAGGGAAUGUAUUUUUUUGUUUGUUUGUUUAAUCUUGCAUAUCUUGUCCUUGAUGCUUUGCAUGGAUCAAAGUUGCUUUGGCGUCUCUGCCCCCAUCAGAACUGUGGUUGUCUGGGGUUUAAGAGAUCCCAUAGCAUAAAUCUCCACUAGAUGUCAGUGUGUCACUAAAUGAAACUGGUUCAGCAUGCGCUCCAGAACUGUUUUUGAAAUCUAUUGGAAAGGUAAAUUCCAAUUUUAUAUUUUCCAACCAGAAUGAUGGAUAUAGAUGUGUUUUUGUGGUACAUGUUAGUAAUAAGUGGUAUUUGUCCUCAUGUUUAAAAAACACAUUAUCUUUCAUCUGAGGAUUUCAAAAUGCUUACCUCCAAGGGUACUUCAGCAGGUUCAUGGAAAAAUGGAAUUAAUUAGCAGAUAAUGUGCAUUUUCCAUGAACUUUUUUCAAGGUCCCUCCUGAAUUCUAGUCAUUUGCCAUAAUAUUCCAAAAGACAUGAAAUGCAAAUAUGGCCUUCAGUUUCCAGUAGAGUAACAGGAAUUGCAUGGGGUCACAGUGAUUGGCCCAAGGCCACAUAGUCACAGUGAAAGGAACUGGACUGGAACUUUGUGAUUGCAGAACAUACUGUGCCUCAUCCACACCGCCGUUGCUUUGGUAUCUGAAGUGCAUUUAGAUGCAGAAUCCCUUUGGAGAAGUCUGCCGUAUGUAUUAAUGACCUUCCCUAUAAAACAAGCUCAUAGGAGUGAAAUAAUUAAGAGCCAUUAAGUUAGUAAAGUUAGCAUGGGAAUGUUUCUAUCAGAAAAACCUAAAUUUUAUUACUGCACAAACAGAUGCUAAACAACAAUCGAAAGCACUUCAAAAAGUUCAUGGAAAAGUAUAUAUUCAAUUUCUUAUGGAUUUUUUGAAGUCUCAUAUUUUCAUGUAUGCUAUUUUUGGAAUGGUGAACUCAAGCCAGCAUGAACCUCAUCUUAGUUCAUUUUCAAGUGCAAAAGGGAAGAAAGGAAGAAGUAAUCUGGAAUGAAAAAUGGGAACUGAAAAAUUUGAGGAUUUUGGUACAGAUUCUACAUUGUAGGUUUCACACUGUGUAGUUUUCUUAAAGAGAAGUCUACAUAUAAUUCUGUAUCAUAGGAUUUAAAUGGUGAUUUUUCCCUAGAUUAUAUACACAGGUUCCAGGUCUAUCAUAUUUGUGGGUAAAGAUUAAAAGAGUGAACAGAAAAGAGGUUAGGCUGGUGGGAUUAUGAUAAAUGUAAUUCCUCCUUUAUGUGGUAAUAUUGUUCUAUAAUAAAUAAAGAGAAAGAAUGUUUCCUCCUUUAUUGUUCAUGUUGUAAAAAUUUGCCACAGUCUCAAGCUUAAGGAGAGCUCAUUGACAUCCAUGAAAACAAUUGUAAUUCAGGAUGGGCUUAAUGUUUGGCUUGUUUACCAAUGUUUCCCAUUAAAUCAUAAAAAUCAAGGUUAAGCUGGCAAAAGUACAUGGUCAGAUUUUCAAACUGCAAUGUAAAUUUUAAGUGAAGAUAAUUGAUUACUUAAAUCCUAGCAGGCAAUUUGCUGUGGUAUUUAGUGUAUUACUGGUGUUAAGUGAAUAUUGAUAAAUAAGUUUUAAAAUAUAGCUCUAUUUAACUUGUGUUUUUAUUUCAAUGGAGUAUAAAGUUAGAAGAGUUACCAGUUAAGUUCAACAGAGUGUCAAAGUAAAACAUUAAAAUGCUGUUGUUUUUGCAUGUUUGAACCUAGUUUUGAUUCAGAACUUGUAUAUAGCAAAUCAUGCAUGUGUCAAACAGAUAUAAAAUAACAUUCUGUAUAUAUAUAUAAAGGAAUUAUAUGUCUCAAGCAAAUAAUAACAGUGUAGCCACCUUGAAUUAUGUGUGAAAAUUUCAUGGCCAAUAAAACACUGAUCAGUGAUUAUCAGUUGGGGAAGCUGGGCAUGUCUAUUAAAAUUCAC